GAUGAAGAACGUAGUGAAAUGCGAUAAGUAAUGUGAAUUGCAGAAUUCAGUGAAUCAUCGAAUCUUUGAACGCACAUUGCGCCCCUUGGUAUUCCGAGGGGCAUGCCUGUUCGAGCGUCAUUAUAACCCCUCAAGCUCAGCUUGGUGUUGGGGCCUGCUGCACUGGCAGCCCUUAAAAUCAGUGGCGGCGCCAUCUGGCUCUAAGCGUAGUAAUUCUUCUCGCUAUGGAGUCCUGGUGGAUGCUUGCCAUCAACCCCCAAUUUUUCUAUGGGUGACCUCGGAUCAGGUAGGGAUACCCGCUGAACUUAAGCAUAUCAAUAAGCGGAGGA
rnacentral:misc_RNA from 1 species